rnacentral:rRNA from 1 species
GAUGAACGCUAGCUACAGGCUUAACACAUGCAAGUCGAGGGGCAGCACGGAGAUAGCUUGCUAUCUUGGGUGGCGACCGGCGCACGGGUGAGUAACGCGUAUCCAACCUGCCCAUUACUCUGGGAUAGCCUUGCGAAAGUAAGAUUAAUACCGGAUGUUGUUAAAAACCCGCAUGAGUUUUUAACCAAAGAUUUAUUGGUAAUGGAUGGGGAUGCGUGACAUUAGGUAGUUGGUGAGGUAACGGCUCACCAAGCCGACGAUGUCUAGGGGUUCUGAGAGGAAGGUCCCCCACACUGGAACUGAGACACGGUCCAGACUCCUACGGGAGGCAGCAGUGAGGAAUAUUGGUCAAUGGACGAGAGUCUGAACCAGUCAAGUAGCGUGCAGGAUGACGGCCCUCUGGGUUGUAAACUGCUUUUAGUUGGGAAUAAAAAGAGGGACGUGUCCCUAAUUGUAUGUACCAUCAGAAAAAGGACCGGCUAAUUCCGUGCCAGCCGCCGCGGUAAAAC